GGUCCCGUCGUCUAGGGGUUAGGACAGGAGAUUCUCAGUCUCUAAACAGCGGUUCGAUUCCGCUCGGGACUA
rnacentral:tRNA from 2 species